UACAGAAAACGGAAUAAAUUUUAAAAAAAAAAACUCAAAGGAAGCAACUUUCUUUUUAUUCUCUCUCACACUUGAUUGCGAUUUGAGAAAGAUUAAACUCUUUUCAUCUCCUUCACCCUCAUCGUUUCGCAUCUCUGGUCAAGAGAGAGACGGCAAAAUCAAAGAUCGAGAACAAAGGAUUUAUAAGACAUAGCAGAGGUAAGAGAUACAAAGCUUUUCUUCAUCAAUGGCUGCUAUGACCGAGAAGGAAGCUAUGGCGGAUCCUGUUUUGGUCGAGGCACUUCAGAAUCCUCGUCAUCGUCUCACCAGUUUAGUCAAUUUCUCUUACCCACGAUUCGAUUUUGCUUUCUCUCUUGGUGACUUGAUCUGAUUUUGGUCAUUUCCUUUUUGUUGUAGUUUUCUAGGGCUUCAUAGAAUUGGGGGGACUAUUAUGAGUUUCUCUAAUUCUUGAUCCUUUGUUGGGCUGUUUGGUUCAAUUCUCUUGUUUUGUGUAGGUGAUUAGGGUUUGAUUAGAUCCAUGACUAUUAACAAUCCUAUUGAAUGCUCUAUGACCCAAAUCACAAUCACUUGUAUUUUUAGCUCAAUCAGAAUCCUCAUGAUCACGAUUGUUUCAUAGGCACCAUGAUCAUUGAAGCUUGAGUAUUAUAAGUAUCUUGUCCUCAAGUUUCAACAUUUUAAUUUAUGUUGAAGUUUAAUUUCUUUAUCUGGAAAGAUUCUCUUAAAAUGUGGUUGAUAGUUGGUGUGUGUGUUUUUAAUUUCGCGGAUGGAGCUUGAUAGACAGAAGUUCUUUCAAAACCUUGAGCAGCUUCAGUUCGAAUUCCCGCCUUUUCCAACAUCGUACAUGCGUGUUCCUGCACAUCAAGUUGCUCAGCAUUGUGUUAUACAUUUUAAACCCAUGUUUGGUUGCCCUGAGAUCUCGUAAAACACUCUAGAAGCAUUGAUUAACAAAGAUCCGCAAAGCUCAUUUCCAUCAGAUACGCGGGUUAAACGGAUCCUAAAGCCCAUGAGAUGAGGUCCGCGUGUUUUACCGAAUGAAUAUGGUCUAGAUCCGACCCAAUAACCCAGGAUUCGCGUGUCACUUACCAGUAAAUUAGCCAUUUUACCCUUGGAACGAAUUUUUAAGUUUACUCUUAGAAUAGAUUAAUUGUAAUGGCAUUCCCUUGUAAUUUUUUACACUUUUUAAGGUUAUUUUUCAGGGAAUGCUUCCCAAUUAAUAAUA